GACGAACGCUGGCGGCGUGCCUAAUACAUGCAAGUCGAACGCUUCUUUCCUCCCGAGUGCUUGCACUCAAUUGGAAGGAGGAGUGGCGGACGGGUGAGUAACGCGUGGGUAACCUACCCAUCAGAGGGGGAUAACACUUGGAAACAGGUGCUAAUACCGCAUAACAGUUUAUGCCGCAUGGCAUAAGAGUGAAAGGCGCUUUCGGGUGUCGCUGAUGGAUGGACCCGCGGUGCAUUAGCUAGUUGGUGAGGUAACGGCUCACCAAGGCCACGAUGCAUAGCCGACCUGAGAGGGUGAUCGGCCACACUGGGACUGAGACACGGCCCAGACUCCUACGGGAGGCAGCAGUAGGGAAUCUUCGGCAAUGGACGAAAGUCUGACCGAGCAACGCCGCGUGAGUGAAGAAGGUUUUCGGAUCGUAAAACUCUGUUGUUAGAGAAGAACAAGGACGUUAGUAACUGAACGUCCCCUGACGGUAUCUAACCAGAAAGCCACGGCUAACUACGUG
rnacentral:rRNA from 1 species